UCUAGCUUAACUGGCAGAGCAUGGCAUUAAUACUGCCAGAGUUAGGGGUUUGAUUCCCCACUGCUAAGAA